GCCGCAGUGUUUCUAAUGGUUGCUUGUGGUGGGUAAUAUCUCACCAUGUUAAACCACCUUCUGCAGGCCCUGUUACCCCUGCUGCAUGCAUUUACGUAUAGGGCAUUUAGCCAACGCUUUUAUCCAAAGCGACUUACAAGAAGUACAUUUAUCAGAAGAAGCUGUCAGAAACUUUGCUGUACAGCAUGCCUGCCUGGGUUCUCAUAUUUACUAUUGUUUGUCUCCCAGGUGAAUAAAUGUCAGCCUCACUGCUGAUAUUUGUAGUGUAGGGCUGUGUGCGAAGGCCUCUUUUCAAUGUUAAAUUAAACUAAUUCCUUCUCCUUAUUUGCCCUUUCUAUGCAAAUGAAAAAUUUGGACAGUUGGACUUUUGAUAAUUGGACGCUUUCUUUUAGCCAUUUACCAGACAAUUUUAUCGAAAGCGUUUUGCAAAGAUUUUUGUAUUUUUUGGAAUUUCAUUUAGGAGCAGUUAGGGAUAAGACAUUUUGCUCAAGAAUGCCUAGAUGUUAGGGCAGCCAGUGGAGAUUGGGGGUUGGACCUGAUACCUUUCAAACAUCCUAACCAGCCCUAUGUUCAGGAGAAAUAUUUAUUUAGUCAAUUGAUAAUGUCUUGGGAUAAUCCUCAGUGACCUUAGCCUACCUAUGAGGAUCGUACAGCACAAAACCCAACUGCUCCUGGAUUUUUUUAUUUGCAUUCACUGGGAUUUGCUUUGGGAAAAUUGUAGUCAGUCACACAACAAUUACAGGUAGUGUUCAGGAAUUUCUCAAUGUUCAGGUCCUAGGUUCUGAAUGAGGUUCAGCAAAAUUACGACAAACAAGUACACCUUGUAGCCAUGACCACGGGAAGGAAGGGGCGCUUCUCCGUUGUAAUAGAUAGUACCACCGUAAAACCAGAUUCUGGUUACCCCCAUUAUGUGCAGCUGAAAGAAAACACCACCCUGCGUUGUUGUCUCUUUGCUUGCGCUUGGAGUCAUCCAAUGAUACUCGGAAGACAAGAGUCCUCCCUCUUUGCCACCGCCUGUUCGGAUAGAGACACUGAAGAGGCAGUUCCAGCGUCUUCAGACACUCAAUCCUGAGAGAAAUAAUGUAAUUAUGAGUUAGGUUAAUAGUUACGUCAGCGGAACCCGAUUUGAGUCUGUUUUAUUUGCUCAUAUUUCAUGAACUGUGUUGAUCGCCGCUUGCUUCCCACAUGAGACCAGACCCAACCCCCUAACCCUAGGCCCUCUUAAGGUUAAGGAAAGACUUCCCAAGCCAAGAGGGGAGAAACCCUGACAAGGACCACAGAAGAGGGAUCCCUCCUUCCUGGGACAGUUAGGAGUGCAAUAGGAGCCUACUGGAUUGAUCUAAUGACAAGAUGUCCCUUCUGAUCUCUUCUUUGUCAAUAGAUAACGAACUGUUUACAUUUGUCCUGGUUACACAGAGCCAGGCUUUCAGGGCCAGUCAAAUGGCGACGUAGUGCACAUGAGCAGAAGCGGCAGAGUCUGGUCCUUUUUGUUAUUUAAAGUGCUGACAUUCUAUCUACUGCCUGAGCAGGUGCAGAAAUGUUGAUCUUUCCCCGGAUAAUUGUUCCCCCCCUAUCCCCGAACGGCUGAUCUCUAGGGUGAGUAUGUAGCAAAGGAGCUUUGGAAAUAUUCCCUGCAAAAAUAUUUGUUGUGUAAAGUUCAGGCGUAGCAAUAACAUAAUAAUAUGAGUAAGUAAAAUUAGUAAGUAAGUAAAAUGUAUCUAUAAAAGCACAUUUAUAACAGUUUGCACUGACCAAAGUGCUGUACAGAGUGCAUUCAGUAGGCAAACAUGAAGGCAAAAUAACAACAACAACAUUGGAAGAAUGUAAAUAAAAGACAUAAAACCCGGACAUCGACACACAAACAAAGGCAGUAGUGCAGAGGUCGGAUAGUUAAUGGGGAGGGAAAGCAAGGUUGUACGGACGGGUUUUGAGCCUUGAUUUAAAGGCAUCAAUGGAGGGGGCAUCGCGUAUGUUGGGGGGCAGUUGGUUCCACGAGCGCGGAGCAGCUACUGCGAAGGCCCGGUCGCCUUUUUGUUUGAGUCUGGAGCGGGGGAUCCGGUGAAGGGAAGCAAGAACAGGUGUGAUAUGCUCCCACUUUUUUGACCCAGUCAACAGUCUUGCUGCUGCAUUUUUAACUAUUUGGAGGCGUGAUAUGAGGGACUGAGGGAGACCAAGGUAGAGGGAGUUUCAGUAUUCCAGCCGUGAUGUUAUGAAAGCAUGGAUAACUAUUUCCAGAUUGUGGUAUGAUAGGGAGUGCUUUAUUUUAGAGAUGGUUCUGAGCUGGUAGAAGCUGUUCUUCAUGACGGAGGAGAUUUGCUUAUUAAAGCAAAGCUCAGAAUCAAAAAAGAUGCCCAGAUUUCUAACAGAUUUUAUUCAGGUUUUAUGAAUGGGGUUAGACUACCUAGGUCAGUGAAGAUGGGGUUUUUGAAUUUGGAGCGCUAAGAUGAUAACUUCUGUUUUGCUAUUGUUAAAUUGGAGGAAAUUAUCCCCCACCCAGUAAUUUAUCUCCUUGAGACCCUCUAGGGGCGUCUGAAGGCAGUCCCUGGAUUAAAUACCCCAGUAGGAGCAUAUAUAAACGAAACAGGAUUGGACUCAGGAUGGACCCCUGGAGGACCCCACAAGACCGAGGGGUAUAGUUUCAUAGGCCCUCUCAGGGGGCCUAUGAAACCUCUCAGCCAAAAACGCAUUUUCGGUUUUCGGCCGAAAUAGUUUUAUCACCGAAACAACACGGCCGAAACAGAAAUAUGUGAUGGGGCAAACAAAAAGCGCGGCCAGCACACGCUUGUCUAGGUAAGCGCCAAUAUGUCUGCGGUGUGGACGUUUUUCAAUGUUGCUGAGAAAGACCCACGUAUAGCGAUUUGCAAAAAUUUGAAUGCCUAGAUUUUAAUGAAGUUAGUAGGCCUACACAUUCAUAGCCAUAAAUGCAAUGGUACUAAUAAUUCCAACAAAAUUAGCAGUUUGUUGGAAAAAGUUCACCAAAGACAGGUGACUCACCAGCUCCAGCGCGUAUCCAUGUCUCGGUUAAAAUCAGUAUAUCCAGGUGUCGUUGAAUGAAGAAGUCCUUCAGAAUGAACGUUUUAGAUGAAACGGAGCUCGCGUUGACCAAUGCCAGCUUUCCCGUGAGGUGUUCCGGAUUUUUUUGGACAUCGGGUGUAUGUCAAAAUUCACCUCGCCGUCUUGGAGAACCAGAAAGGCGACUAAUGUAGUCUAACAUGUUAUGCUACAUUCUUUUGGUAGGGAAUAUACAGGUAACAUAGAUAGUGGGAGUGACCAUCGAGAGUUUUGGAUUGGCGGGAGAGGCCAAGUUAACUGCAAUUCACUAUGGGGGAAGUGGACAUCUCUGCAAGGCUGCAAGGCAGUUAAACAAAUCUACCCAACAAAUUUAGAAGUCAGUCGAUUGGUCUUGCCUCAGUAUCAGACUUAACGGCUCCAGUGGGAAUGCAAAUUUGAACUAUCUUAACCUCUCAGUUAGAGAGAGGAAGGGAGGUAACUUAAGGUCCAAGGAGAAUGUAAACAGUUCCUUCUAGAUUUACUAGUAAUUUUAUAAACAAGGUUAAUGUAAUGUUUAUAAUUGUGUAUUAUAGUUUAUGAUUAAUAUUUCCAUGACACUGGUAAUUCAAUGCGCUAAGCAGAGUUCGUAUUGCGGAGAUCUUCCGUCAAUGCCACAGUAUCAGAAGACAAGACCCUGACACCUUGUCUCUUCAGGACCGGGGCCAACAGUAAGGCAACACGGACCCAGGUUAGGCCAGUAAGCCUGCAAACAAGCCUGACCUUGUGUAAAUGGUAAAGCCAU